rnacentral:miRNA from 1 species
CCGCCGUGCGUGUGUGUGUGUGUGUGUGUGUGUGUGUGUGUGUGGCGGUCCCUCCCCCCAUCACACAGCUCCCCCGCCCCCACACCGG